UACGUAGGCAGCAAGCGUUGUUCGGAGUUACUGGGCGUAAAGGGUGCGUAGGCGGCUUCUUAAGUCUGGUGUGAAAUCUCCCGGCUCAACUGGGAGGGUGCGCCGGAUACUGAGGGGCUAGAGUGUGGGAGAGGAAAGUGGAAUUCCAGGUGUAGCGGUGAAAUGCGUAGAUAUCAGGAAGAACACCCGUGGCUAAGGCGGCUCUCUAGUACGGUACUGACGCUGAGACGCGAAAGCGUGGGGAGCGAACAGG
rnacentral:rRNA from 1 species